GCCACUGGAUGGCUAACCCAAACUCCAGCUGGCGAAUUAGUGUUCUCAUUUUGAACAAAAUCGGAAAAAAGGGGAUAUAAACCUGAAACAAAUUUCUGAUUAGACAACAAAUUAGACAGAGACUGUACAUGUAGUUUCUCACCACUAGAUGGAACCUCCUGCCCAGAAACCGAGGACUGAGGGAACUUCAGCUUCCCAGGAAAUUCACCGCUGACCUCAGGAACUUUAGCAGGUGCCGGAGUAGAGGAUUCUCCCUUGCUGUAUCCAGGCAAUGCCCUCGUGGAAGUUAAAGGGGAUUAUUGGAGUUUUCGAGGACUUUAUCUUGUGCUCAUCGUUAGAAAACACAGGGAAACAAAAAUCUAGUAGGAAAAAAAGAUGUCUGAGAAGCAGCUUAAAGAAUCCUUUGUAAGGAACCUCAACGGCACCAGCAUCAGCGAGAUCUCAUUGGGCAUAAGUAUAACCCCUCUCUGCAUUCUCUUCCGGGGUUUGAUACUCAUCUCCUUUUAUCAAACGUUUGGUGAUGUGUUUUAUUCAUGGAAAUAUCGCCUUUUUCUUGAUUUUAUUCUGUUAGUGCUUCCACAGGUAUUGUCAUGCACGGUCUUCUCUGAUUUCCUAGCCCUGGUGGUGGGAUGUAUUUCAGUAACUUGUGCUUCGGGCCUCUACAUGAUCUACAGAAAACGGAUUCCUUACAAAAGCGCGUCUCUUCUGAACGUCCUUCAGUCCUUUUUGAACGUACGGAUUGAAGACCGAAAGGUGCCGUCCGUUACAACUUUUCGCGUUUUCCUUAACUUGCUUACCGCCAUAUCUAUUUUAGCUGUUGAUUUUCCCAUGUUUCCGAGGCGCUACGCUAAAACGGAAACCUAUGGCACGGGCGUAAUGGAUCUGGGGGUGGGAUGUUUUACGUUUGCCAACGCCCUUAUUUCCCCAGAAGCUAGAGCACGACAUGAAGAAAAGCUCUCUCCGCUGCACAGAAUGAAGAAACAGCUCGUUGCAGUUUGGCCGUUGGUUUUUCUCGGACUUGCGCGACUCCUCAGCGUCAAAGCAGUAGAUUACCAUGAACAUGUCUCUGAGUAUGGCGUCCAUUGGAACUUUUUCUUCACGUUGGCGAUUGUCAGGGUGUUUUCGUCUUUUCUGCUGACUAUGAUUCCAGCGCAAAAAAUCUGGAUUGCAGCGACAGUCAUUAUUUCGAGCUAUCAAAUAGCCCUGGAAACAACAUAUUUGAAGGCUUUCAUCUUGCACGGCAGUGAUAAUAGAGGCACAAGACUUGGCUUUCUUAACGCAAACCGGGAAGGAAUAUUCUCUGUCAUUGGAUAUGUGGGAAUUUAUAUGAUCGGAGUUCAAGUCGGGUCUUACCUACUAAAGAAAAGGACAUUGGUGAAAGAAUGGGCGCAAUUAUUGGCUAAGUUCACCAUACUUUCAGUUACGCUCUUUAUUAGUGUGACCAUAGUUCAGGUUUACAUCGAACCCAUUUCCCGUAGAAUGGUGAACUUACCAUUUUGCAUUUGGACUAUCGGCCAGUGUAUGGUUUGGCUUUGCAUGGUUUUUUUCUGUGAUCUUCUUUUGCUGUUUGUUCAGUAUCUGAUACCUGGAAGCCGUGUUCCUAGCACAUGGAAUAUAUGCAGUCGCGUGGACAGUCGUCAGAAAAAUGACUCUCAUCCAAAAUAUGAAAAAAGAAAAAAAGAAAUUGACUUUUGUCUAAUUGAAGCGAUCAAUAGGAAUCAGCUGCUGUUGUUCUUGCACUCAAACAUCAUGACUGGCGUGGUGAACCUAUUCAUUGAUACCAUUCACAGUACCAGUUUGUUCUCACUCAUUGUACUUCUUGUCUACAUGUUUUUAAACUGCUUGAUUUCAGGUAUUUUACACGUGAAAAAUAUUACUGUUAAGUGGUGGUGAGUAUUGGUUAAAGUUGUCGUCCGAGAUUCUGAUAUUGAUGGCUUAUCCUCACGUUAGAUGAUCAGUAUCUGAUCGGUGGGGGUCCAACUUCCGGCAUUGCCGCCGAUCAGCUGUUUGAAGAGGCCAUGCCUUCUUCCUAGGCCAGUGACAUCAAGUUAAUCACUCACAUGUCCUAGGCACCAUUCAAGUGAAUGGUAACGCAGCUCAGCUCCAAUCACAGCCGCUAUACAAUGGGCAGCACUGUGCUUGGUCAGCUGCAAGGAGGCCGCAACAGUUAACUAAGUGCCAUGGCCUCUUUAAACAGCUGAUCGGCGGGGGUGCCGGGUGUCAGACUCCAACAAAUCGUAUACUGAUGACCCCAGAAUGAAAAGGAAAUGAAAAACUGGUUCUACUGAAUCUUUUCCCACAGGACUAUAUACCAAUCUGCUCAGCUCCUCCUGUUACAUAAUCUGCAGCCCUGACGUAAUAAUCAGCAUGACAGAUUCGCUUUAAAUGAAUUGUACUUGUUGCCAGAGGACAAUAAGGUUUCUACUUGAAAAAUGGGGGCUGGACCCAAGUGGAUAUAAAUAUUUGCACUAAACCUUUUUAAAGGACCACGAAGGAUAGAAUCCGACCAAAUAAAAAAUAUAAUAAAAGCCUAACUUUUUUUUCCUUUCUCCUCUAUUGUCCUAUAUCACAAUUGCAGAACUUAAAAAAUAAAUUAUUAA